rnacentral:rRNA from 1 species
GGGCUUUUCGGGGUAGCUUACACAUGCAGUCGAACGAUGAACCUCACUUCGGGAGGGGAUUAGUGGCGAACGGGUGAGUAACACGUGGGCAAUCUGCCCUGCACUCUGGGACAAGCCCUGGAAACGGGGUCUAAUACCGGAUACUGACCCGCUUGGGCAUCCAAGCGGUUCGAAAGCUCCGGCGGUGCAGGAUGAGCCCGCGGCCUAUCAGCUUGUUGGUGAGGUAAUGGCUCACCAAGGCGACGACGGGUAGCCGGCCUGAGAGGGCGACCGGCCACACUGGGACUGAGACACGGCCCAGACUCCUACGGGAGGCAGCAGUGGGGAAUAUUGCACAAUGGGCGAAAGCCUGAUGCAGCGACGCCGCGUGAGGGAUGACGGCCUUCGGGUUGUAAACCUCUUUCAGCAGGGAAGAAGCGAAAGUGACGGUACCUGCAGAAGAAGCGCCGGCUAACUACGUGCCAGCAGCCGCGGUAAUACGUAGGGCGCGAGCGUUGUCCGGAAUUAUUGGGCGUAAAGAGCUCGUAGGCGGCUUGUCACGUCGGUUGUGAAAGCCCGGGGCUUAACCCCGGGUCUGCAGUCGAUACGGGCAGGCUAGAGUUCGGUAGGGGAGAUCGGAAUUCCUGGUGUAGCGGUGAAAUGCGCAGAUAUCAGGAGGAACACCGGUGGCGAAGGCGGAUCUCUGGGCCGAUACUGACGCUGAGGAGCGAAAGCGUGGGGAGCGAACAGGAUUAGAUACCCUGGUAGUCCACGCCGUAAACGGUGGGCACUAGGUGUGGGCGACAUUCCACGUCGUCCGUGCCGCAGCUAACGCAUUAAGUGCCCCGCCUGGGGAGUACGGCCGCAAGGCUAAAACUCAAAGGAAUUGACGGGGCCCGCACAAGCGGCGGAGCAUGUGGCUUAAUUCGACGCAACGCGAAGAACCUUACCAAGGCUUGACAUACACCGGAAAGCAUCAGAGAUGGUGCCCCCUGUGUCGGUGUACAGUGUGCAUGGCUGUCGUCAGCUCGUGUCGUGAGAUGUGGGUAGUCCCGCAACGAGCGCACCAUGUCCCGUGUGCAGCAGCCCUGUGGUGCUGGACUCACGGAGACCGCCGGGUCAACUCGGAGAAGGUGGGGACAAGUCAGUCUACAUGCCUAUGUCUUGGGCUGCCACACUGCUCAAUGCGGUACAUGAGCUGCGAUACUCGCGAGGGUGGAGCGAUUCUCAAAGACACGGCCUGACAAGCUCCGAUGGC